rnacentral:rRNA from 1 species
UACGUAGGGGGCAAGCGUUGUCCGGAAUCAUUGGGCGUAAAGAGCGUGUAGGCGGCUCGAUAAGUCUGCUGUGAAAGUCCAGGGCUCAACCCUGGAAGGCCGGUGGAAACUGUCGGGCUAGAGUCCGGAAGAGGCGAGUGGAAUUCCCGGUGUAGCGGUGAAAUGCGCAGAUAUCAGGAAGAACACCAAUGGCGAAGGCAGCUCGCUGGGACGUUACUGACGCUGAGACGCGAAAGCGUGGGGAGCAAACAGG